CGUAUAUGUUUGUUAUAGAUUUUGGACCUUCAAAUUUAUUGCGCUCGAACUUCACUGAUGAAUAAAGACAACAGCAGUGUACCACUUUUCCAUAGUCAUAAAUCGUUUUAGCGAAAACAAAUCCUGGUUUCAAACUUAAAUCGAGGGAAAUACAUCAACUACAAAGGACUGAAAAAGGAACAACAGAAACGCUGAACUGAAACAAACACAAACGCCAUUAAUGUUAUUUUGACCGAUCAAGAAAAACAAGUAUUUUGAAAUUGUUUUUUUUCGAAUGUUCUAAAGAAUUCUUUGCCUCGAAAAUGUCAUUUAAUAGAGACAAGCUCUUAUCUUUUAUCAUGAUGUUUAUCCAAUUCCAGGGA
rnacentral:lncRNA from 1 species